rnacentral:rRNA from 1 species
AGCAGCCGCGGUAAUUCCAGCUCCAAUAGCGUAUAUUAAAGUUGUUGCAGUUAAAAAGCUCGUAGUUGAAUUUCGGGAUCAAUGUUUCGGUCAUGCCGUUGGUAUGUACUGAUAUUAUUGGUUUCUCACCUUCUAAAGAACCGUAAUGCCAUUAAUUUGGUGUCACGGGGAAUUAGGACUGUUACCUUGAAAAAAUUAGAGUGUUUAAAGCAGGCUCACGCUUGAAUACAUUAGCAUGGAAUAAUGAAAUAGGACAUCCGAUUCUAUUUUGUUGGUUCCUAGGAUCGAUGUAAUGAUUAAUAGGGAUAGUUGGGGGCAUUAGUAUUCAAUUGUCAGAGGUGAAAUUCUUGGAUUUAUUGAAGACUAACUACUGCGAAAGCAUUUGCCAAGGAUGUUUUCAUUAAUCAAGAACGAAAGUUAGGGGAUCGAAGACGAUCAGAUACCGUCGUAGUCUUAACCAUAAACUAUGCCGACUAGGGAUCGGAUGAUGUUAAUUUUUUAAUGACUCAUUCGGCGCCUUACG